rnacentral:rRNA from 1 species
GAGAGAACUCUCGUUAAGGAACUCGGCAAAAUGACCCCGUAACUUCGGGAGAAGGGGUGCUCUGUUAGGGUGCAAGCCCGAGAGAGCCGCAGUGAAUAGGCCCAGGCGACUGUUUAGCAAAAACACAGGUCUCUGCGAAGCCGUAAGGCGAAGUAUAGGGGCUGACGCCUGCCCGGUGCUGGAAGGGUAAGAGGAGCGCUUAGCGUAAGCGAAGGUGCGAAUUGAAGCCCCAGUAAACGGCGGCCGUAACUAUAACGGUCCUAAGGUAGCGAAAUUCCUUGUCGGGUAAGUUCCGACCCGCACGAAAGGCGCA